GCUGGAGAUUAUCCACAGAUAUCUACGGAGAGUUAGAGGUGUUUUACAAGGAGUAAAUCUGCAAGACACAGCGUGCUUUCCUCUCUGUUGCUGUGUCAGAGAAAUUUCCCGUUGUCUGCAGCUGACACAUUGCGAACCACUUGCUUCAUAGCGCAUGCUCCCAGCCCGGGAAGAGCUUUGCAGAAAACAAGUGAGCAUGACAGAAGCCAAACUGGCAGCGAACAGAGGGUGGUCCAAAUCCCCUUGAAGAUGAUGGAUGACUCAGACCAACUUGGUGAGGCCCAAGGGAAUUAUGCUGUCCCUCCAGCCUGUAACUCCAAACCAGCCUUCUCUGCCCAGCCUUCGAACUGGAGCAGCCGCGCAGGCUGGGCAGCGUGGCACAGAGGCACCCGGUGCAUCUUGGGUGGCUCAGGUAGCACCAGCUCCGCGCUGCCUUACACGCUCCAGAUUUAAGACACGAACCUUGCCUGCGAAAGAUGCAAUAUGAGCCUGGAGGUGGUACGGAUGUUAAAAACACCUUGCAAAGAGUUAGUGCAACGAAAGUAAAUCCCCUUCCUUAUGCCUCUCAGCUUUUCCUGUUUCAGGAUGCUGCGAUGGGACGCUCCCAGCAGAGGAGGAUGAAGGCAGGACAGGACACCCAACAGAACGCUGCCCCAGCGAGGACCAGGCACUGCCUCCCUCCUGCCCAGCGUCACCAGGGCUGCAGGGCUGGCUCGUUCCCUCCCUGCAGGAGAACGCAUAUGUCCAAGAAGGAUCUUCUCUUCCAGCAGCACAGAUCUCCCAAGGGAAAAUAAACACAACUAAAAAACCCAACCGCUCUGUCUGCUGGCAGCAAAACUGCAGAGCUCUUUCCUACAAUUUAAGCCACCAUGAAAGGAAAUGGAAAGUAUGGGGUCAUCUUGUGGGAACAUGAAUUGCAGACUUCCAGUUGGACCAGACUCAUGCAGCUGAUGCAGAACUUAGAGAAACAAGUACCGUGAUCAAGGCCGGGGGCCGCAGAAGCCUCUGGCCACUGCAUGCAAGAGAUCUGCAUCGGUAGGAAUUCUGCUGCCUUUCACCCCUGCUCGCAAAAGCACAUCAGUGAAACCUGUGCCAUCGUUCUUCUAUUUAUGUUUCCAUCUGAUCUGCUGAACUGCCAAGCAGAUUACAGAAAGCUGUCUAUAAACCCAAAGGUGGUUUCUACUCUUAAAACUAAUCCUGGGGUAUGAAGAGAUGAGGGCCCUGCUCUAGCCAUACCACCACUAUUUUGUGAACAGAGUCCCUUUCCACAACAGUCAAACAUCACCUUUCACCCCUACGUGGUAACUCAGAGGACCAGGCUUAAUCUGGCUCAGCAUUAAAACUCCAACGUGCUGCUGGAUCUCGACGUGGCUCACAGUGCAUAUGCCUAAAAUUUUACCAGAGAAAUUUAUUUUAGGCAACUUCUGUUUGAAAACUUAAUGGAAGUGUAGUUGUUCUCCCCAGAGCGUAAGGAACAGAUGACUAAGAAAUGUUGCCAGUAUCUGUCUUUCAGCGAGAUUAGUGUUGGGUUUGUGUGGUAUCCUAUUUAUAACUUUGACAAACAGCUCACCCAAUCAUUUCAUACUUAAUCAUAGCUGUCUGCCCAGCUCCCUCCUGAGAAAUGCUUUUCAAGAAGUAUCUGCCAACAUCAUACGAACAAAAGGAAGCAAACCACAGUUAAAAAAACCUUGCUCCCCAAACCAGCACACAGCAAAAGCUCACGAACUAUAUAGAAACCAGGUCUUGGGAAGUUACAAGGCAUAAUUACAGCGUCAUUAUUCAUGGUGCUGCACAGCUAUAGUUAGUCAGUGUUUCCACUGUAAACCCCUAUUUUCAUAGAGGUUUGCAGCUCAGCUGCAAGAAAUUAGGCUAUGAUGAAAUCUGGCAGU